rfam:Candidate division TA06 bacterium 34_109 MPJ_scaffold_0, whole genome shotgun sequence.
GUCGAAGUGGCGGAAUCUGGUAGACGCGUUAGAUUCAGGUUCUAAUAGGGGCAACUCUGUGGGGGUUCAAAUCCCCCCUUCGACA